rnacentral:rRNA from 1 species
UACGAAGGGGGCUAGCGUUGCUCGGAAUCACUGGGCGUAAAGCGCACGUAGGCGGACUCUUAAGUCGGUGGUGAAAUCCUGGAGCUCAACUCCAGAACUGCCUUCGAUACUGGGAGUCUUGAGUUCGGGAGAGGUGAGUGGAACUGCGAGUGUAGAGGUGAAAUUCGUAGAUAUUCGCAAGAACACCAGUGGCGAAGGCGGCUCACUGGCCCGAUACUGACGCUGAGGUGCGAAAGCGUGGGGAGCAAACA